AGCAGCCGCGGUAAUUCCAGCUCCAAUAGCGUAUAUUAAAGUUGUUGCAGUUAAAAGCUCGUAGUUGAAUUUCGGGAUCAAUAUGUUGGUCGUGCCUCGGUACGUACUAGCAUAUUGGUUUCUCCUUUCUGAAGAACCAUGAUGUCAUUUAUUUGGUGUCGUGGGGAAUCAGGACUGUUACUUUGAAAAAAUUAGAGUGUUUAAAGCAGGCUCACGCUUGAAUACAUUAGCAUGGAAUAAUGAAAUAGGACGUUUGAUUCUAUUUUGUUGGUUUCUAGGAUCGACGUAAUGAUUAAUAGGGAUAGUUGGGGGCAUUAGUAUUCAAUUGCCAGAGGUGAAAUUCUUGGAUUUAUGAAGACUAACUACUGCGAAAGCAUUUGCCAAGGAUGUUUUCAUUAAUCAAGAACGAAAGUUAGGGGAUCGAAGACGAUCAGAUACCGUCGUAGUCUUAACCAUAAACUAUGCCGACUAGGGAUCGGAUGAUGUUAAUUUUUUUGAAUGACUCAUUUC
rnacentral:misc_RNA from 1 species